ACCGGGGGGAAAUUGGGAACGAAAACUAUCCCAAGAUGGCGGAUGAAGUGUGUGGUUUGAUAGAGUUUUCUCGUUUGGCUUGUUACCAACCUUAGGACGGAAACGGGGAUCUCAUUAUUAUUUUAUAAGAUGCUGACCCUCCUUUUUUGAUAUUUGAAUGCUACAAUGGACGAAAAUCGUCACAAAAACCAGACCACGUUUCAAUGUCUCAGCAGUCAGUGUACACACAGCAUUGAUACCAAAGAAAGAACAGUGGUUUAUUGAGGGUUGCAGUCAGCAAGGAAUUAUGUGGGAUGUCAGCGUGGUUGGAAAGAUACAGCGAGGAUUUCAGCUCUAGAAGAAUAUCAAGAGAGACGAAAAAAACUAUUUGUUGGUACCGCAAAGAAUAUGUCCAAAGAGAAGAUCAAUGAAUAAAGGGGAUACCACAAAGAUUACAAGUUUGAUAGGAACGGCAAGGAAGACUAAAAAACACUAAAGGAAAAAUAUCCGUCAUAAAGUGAAAAUCUCAAUUUAGUGUCAGCAUUUAGGAUCUCAUUUCGUUUCCAUUUUGAAAAUGUAAUUUUGAGGUGCUUUUUGAUUAAAAGAGGGAAAAGAAGAAACGAAAAGUGUUUGCGUUGAAGGAAGGAGAAAUUCAACGCUCCAAAUUCUCGCACGUGAGACUUGCUCAUUUACAUACACUCACAAAGUACAAUCAGACAGGUUGUAUUUAUUGUGACUUCAAUUUUACAGUAUUUGCAGAAUUAAGAAAUGCACAAAAAACGACGCAGACCGGUCCACCAUUCCCUACUUGUAUCUUACCUUGCAGAUGUCAUGGAAAAGUUAACAUCUCAAGCAAGAGACCGAGGAAAAAUGUCAACCUUGGAUGAGACAAAAAAUCGGGGGUCGAUCCGCCACCGUCCCCCACCGCACCCACCUCUUAUAGACAGUUAUUUUGUAGUUUUAAUACAAGUUUAACAUUGUGGUACGACAUAUCGUAAUAAUCAUGUGUCUUAACACACGCAUGUGUUUUAAAAGAUGUAGUUUACCACAAGGAUAAACUUGUCUUAAUACUACAAAAUAACUGUCUAUAAGAGGUGGGUGUGGUGGGGGACGGUGGCGGAUCGACCCCUGAUUUUUUUUGUCCCAUCCGAGGUUGACAAAUUUCCUCGGUCACUUGCUUGACAUCUGUAAAGUAAGAUAAAGAGACCCUCAGAGAUAACUGGGAAGUAAAGAGGAUGAAUAAACGAAUUAUAAACUUCUCACAACAUCACGAGGGCGCCGGAUAGCGAUUUAUCUGCUGGAUGGUGAUUACCCGCUAGACCCCAAUUUUUGCUUUCCUUCCAGGAUUGAUUUUUUUACCUGGUGUCUUGCUUGAGAUGGUCAUUCCUCCAACUUGUACAGAGAAACAGUUCAACUUUGUGCUUAAGUAUAAAACAAGUGUCUAAUGCUGAUGAACAGAUGGGGGAGGCACACAAUAUAGCCCCCACAUUAUUUGAGGUGGUCGAGUUACUUCUUUUUUCAAGAUGGUUGUUCGUUUUAGAUAUAAAAUCAUUUGGUUUCUUUUACUUCAUGCCCACAAUAGAUUGACUAAAUCUUGACAUAAUUCUUUUCUCCUUCAUUAAACGCCUAAACCGCGCGAUCUAUGAAAACAACUCUGAAAAAAAAAAAAAAAAAAAACGAUCACACAAGCCUGGGUGCCGAGUUGGCGGCAUAGUGCUAGGGAAAUAAGAUGGAAAGAAAAAACUUACCGUCUCUCCACAUCGUUUUCUCUUCUUAGAGAAAGCCAACACUAUGGGUCCAACGACCCCCUUUAAAAUAGGGCAUAAGUGGGGUGAUGGCUAUUUUCAUCAUUUUACGGCUAGGGUUUAU